UACGAAGGGGGCUAGCGUUGCUCGGAAUUACUGGGCGUAAAGGGAGCGUAGGCGGGUUAUCAAGUUGGAGGUGAAAGCCCAGGGCUCAACCUUGGAAUUGCCUUCAAAACUGAUAGCCUAGAGUAUGAUAGAGGCAUGUGGAACUCCGAGUGUAGAGGUGAAAUUCGUAGAUAUUCGGAAGAACACCAGUGGCGAAGGCGACAUACUGGGUCAUGACUGACGCUGAGGCUCGGAAAGCGUGGGGAGCAAACAGGGAUUAGAU
rnacentral:rRNA from 1 species